rnacentral:rRNA from 1 species
AACGAACGCUGGCGGCGUGCCUAACACAUGCAAGUCGAACGAGAAAGGGGCUUCGGCUCCGAGUAAAGUGGCGCACGGGUGAGUAACACGUGGGUAACCUGCCUCAAAGAUUGGGAUAACUCGUCGAAAGAUGAGCUAAUACCGGAUAAGACCACAGUUCCCGCGGGAACAGGGGUCAAAGGUAGCCUCUGCUUGCAAGCUAUCACUUAGAGAUGGGCCUGCGCACCAUUAGCUAGUUGGUAGGGUAACGGCCUACCAAGGCAAAGAUGGUUAGCUGGCCUGAGAGGAUGAUCAGCCACACUGGAACUGAGACACGGUCCAGACUCCUACGGGAGGCAGCAGUGGGGAAUAUUGCGCAAUGGGCGAAAGCUUGACGCAGCAACGCCGCGUGAGUGAUGAAGGCCUUCGGGUCGUAAAGCUCUGUCGGGAGGAACGAAUGCUCCCAAGGUUAACAGCCUCGGGAGGUGACGGUACCUUCAAAGGAAGCACCGGCUAACUCUGUGCCAGCCGCCGCCGUAACAC